rnacentral:rRNA from 1 species
UAAGUAAGCUUUGAUCCAGAGAUUUCCGAAUGGGGAAACCCAGCAUGAGUUAUGUCAUGUUAUCGAUAUGUGAAUACAUAGCAUAUCAGAAGGCACACCCGGAGAACUGAAACAUCUUAGUACCCGGAGGAAGAGAAAGAAAAUUCGAUUCCCUUAGUAGCGGCGAGCGAAACGGGAAGAGCCCAAACCAACAAGCUUGCUUGUUGGGGUUGUAGGACACUCUAUACGGAGUUACAAAGGACGACAUUAGACGAAUCAUCUGGAAAGAUGAAUCAAAGAAGGUAAUAAUCCUGUAGUCGAAAAUGUUGUCUCUCUUGAGUGGAUCCUGAGUACGACGGAGCACGUGAAAUUCCGUCGGAAUCUGGGAGGACCAUCUCCUAAGGCUAAAUACUCUCUAGUGACCGAUAGUGAACCAGUACCGUGAGGGAAAGGUGAAAAGCACCCCGGAAGGGGAGUGAAAUAGAACCUGAAACCGUGUGCUUACAAGUAGUCAGAGCCCGUUAAUGGGUGAUGGCGUGCCUUUUGUAGAAUGAACCGGCGAGUUACGAUUUGAUGCAAGGUUAAGCAGUAAAUGUGGAGCCGUAGCGAAAGCGAGUCUGAAUAGGGCGUUUAGUAUUUGGUCGUAGACCCGAAACCAGGUGAUCUACCCUUGGUCAGGUUGAAGUUCAGGUAACACUGAAUGGAGGACCGAACCGACUUACGUUGAAAAGUGAGCGGAUGAACUGAGGGUAGCGGAGAAAUUCCAAUCGAACCUGGAGAUAGCUGGUUCUCUCCGAAAUAGCUUUAGGGCUAGCCUCAAGUGAUGAUUAUUGGAGGUAGAGCACUGUUUGGACGAGGGGCCCCUCUCGGGUUACCGAAUUCAGACAAACUCCGAAUGCCAAUUAAUUUAACUUGGGAGUCAGAACAUGGGUGAUAAGGUCCGUGUUCGAAAGGGAAACAGCCCAGACCACCAGCUAAGGUCCCAAAAUAUAUGUUAAGUGGAAAAGGAUGUGGCGUUGCCCAGACAACUAGGAUGUUGGCUUAGAAGCAGCCAUCAUUUAAAGAGUGCGUAAUAGCUCACUAGUCGAGUGACACUGCGCCGAAAAUGUACCGGGGCUAAACAUAUUACCGAAGCUGUGGAUUGUCCUUUGGACAAUGGUAGGAGAGCGUUCUAAGGGCGUUGAAGCAUGAUCGCAAGGACAUGUGGAGCGCUUAGAAGUGAGAAUGCCGGUGUGAGUAGCGAAAGACGGGUGAGAAUCCCGUCCACCGAUUGACUAAGGUUUCCAGAGGAAGGCUCGUCCGCUCUGGGUUAGUCGGGUCCUAAGCUGAGGCCGACAGGCGUAGGCGAUGGAUAACAGGUUGAUAUUCCUGUACCACCUAUAAUCGUUUUAAUCGAUGGGGGGACGCAGUAGGAUAGGCGAAGCGUGCGAUUGGAUUGCACGUCUAAGCAGUAAGGCUGAGUAUUAGGCAAAUCCGGUACUCGUUAAGGCUGAGCUGUGAUGGGGAGAAGACAUUGUGUCUUCGAGUCGUUGAUUUCACACUGCCGAGAAAAGCCUCUAGAUAGAAAAUAGGUGCCCGUACCGCAAACCGACACAGGUAGUCAAGAUGAGAAUUCUAAGGUGAGCGAGCGAACUCUCGUUAAGGAACUCGGCAAAAUGACCCCGUAACUUCGGGAGAAGGGGUGCUCUUUAGGGUUAACGCCCAGAAGAGCCGCAGUGAAUAGGCCCAAGCGACUGUUUAUCAAAAACACAGGUCUCUGCUAAACCGUAAGGUGAUGUAUAGGGGCUGACGCCUGCCCGGUGCUGGAAGGUUAAGAGGAGUGGUUAGCUUCUGCGAAGCUACGAAUCGAAGCCCCAGUAAACGGCGGCCGUAACUAUAACGGUCCUAAGGUAGCGAAAUUCCUUGUCGGGUAAGUUCCGACCCGCACGAAAGGCGUAACGAUUUGGGCACUGUCUCAACGAGAGACUCGGUGAAAUCAUAGUACCUGUGAAGAUGC